rnacentral:rRNA from 1 species
UCUUUUGAGAGUUUGAUCCUGGCUCAGGACGAAUGUUGGCGGCGUGCCUAAUCUAUGCAAGUCGAACGCCCGCCUCUCAAGUCGCAAGACGAGAGGGCGGGAGUGGCGAACGAGUGAGUAAUACGUGGGAAUCUACCCUUGUCACAGGAAUAACUCACCGAAAGGUGGAUUAAUACCUGAUGGUCUCCAGGUUUAAAUCUGGAGUAAAGUUCUGACCUAAAGUCGGAAUGGACAAGGAGGAGCCUGCGGGCUAUCAGCUAGUUGGUAGGGUAAAGGCCUACCAAGGCUAUGACGGCUAGGGGACGUGAGAGCGUGAUCCCCCACGAUGGAACUGAGACACGGUCCAUACACCUACGGGUGGCAGCAAGUGGGAAUAUUGCGCAAUGGGCGAAAGCCUGACGCAGCGACGCCGCGUGAAGGAUGAAGGCCUUCGGGUUGUAAACUUACAUUAAAAAGCAUCGGCUAACUACGUGCCAGCAGCAGCGGUAAUACGUAGGAUGCAAACAUUGUCCGGAUUUAUUGGGCGUAAAGAGUUCUGUAGGCGGGGUAAAAAGUUGUCUGUUAAAGACCUUGGCUUAACCAAGGAAGUGCAUGCAAUACUAUUACCCUAGAGUUACCUAGGGGUAGACGGAACAUAUGGAGUAGGAGUGAAAUCCGUUGAUACCAUAUGGAACACCAAAGGCGAAGGCAGUCUACUGGGGGUUAACUGACGCUAAGAGACGAAAGCGUGGGGAGCAAAACGGAUUAGAUACCCGUGUAGUCCACGCUGUAAACAAUGCCUGCUGGAUACCUGUCCCGACUAAGUCGGGAUGGGUGUCGAAGCUAACGCGUUAAGCAGGCCGCCUGGGAAGUACGGUCGCAAGAUUAAAACUCAAAGGAAUUGGCGGGGACCCGCACAAGCGGUGGAGCAUGUGGUUUAAUAGGAUGAUAACCCAAGAACCUCACCCAGGUUUGACAUUCCGAUGCAAUUCCGCCGAAAGGCGGAACUCCUUCGAGGGUUCGGAACAGGUGUCGCAUGGCUGUCGUCAGCUCGAGUCGUGAGAUGUUCGGUUAAGUCCGUUAUCGAGCGCAACCCCUACUACUAGUUGUAUCACUCUAGUGGGACUGCCCGUGUAAACGGGAGGAAGGUGGGGAUGACGUCAAGUCAGCAUGGCCUUUAUGCCUGGGGCUACACACAUGCUACAAUGGUCGGUACAAUGGGUUGCAAUCCCGCGAGGGUGAGCUAAUCCCCAAAACCGAUCUCAGUUCGGAUUGAAGGCUGCAACUCGCCUUCAUGAAGUAGGAAUCGCUAGUAAUCGCCGGUCAGCUAUACGGCGGUGAAUACGUUCUCGGGUCUUGCACACACCGCCCGUCAAGUCAGCAAAGUUAGAACCAUCUAAAGACCCGAAUUUAGCAACGCAAGUUGCUUAUUGAAAGGUCUAAGUUGGGGCUAGUGAUGAGGAUUAAGUCGUAACAAGGUAGCGCUAGGGGAAUCUGGCGCUGGAUCACCUCCUUU